rnacentral:lncRNA from 1 species
AUGUGUUGGUGCUCACCAUUAAGGAUAGUUUGAUGGAUUUGCAUAUGGUUGUGCACCAUAGAUUGCAUAUUGAGGUGGGACAAUAGAGUAUUGUGUGUCUUGAAUGGGAAUAUAGUGAUGGACUUAAGGUGGUGCAUAUUGAUAAACUGGACCCCUUGAAACUUUUUGUGUGUCUUACAAAAUAUUUGCUACAUCCUCCUUCAUUUUCUUUCCCCAAGAUGUCCUGAUCCAUUUUUGACCACCUGUGUUGUGG